CACCACGCCAACCAGAGAGGAUCCUCCCAGAUCCCAUCUGCCCAACCAGUGUCGGUCCCUCCCAGCCAACCACUGAGCUCCCAUGUGCCGAGCCAACCCAAUCGCGCAGCCGGAUCCGUUCGUGGCUUCUGGAGCACCAGCAACAGCACAGCCUGCCCGAGCUGCUUCUCGAGCGUGCCUGUCGCCGUGCGCCCGCCAGAAGCAGCAGCCGCACCAGCGCGUCACCCUAGCCCCUCAUUGGAGCUCGCCUCGUUGGAGCAGCCCGAGGCCACCGUUGGUGACUACCUGGGCCGACCUUUAGACUCGCGCUCUGCUCUCCUUCCUCCCAUCUCUCUCCUUCAUAUCAUCCCUCUCUCUGUCUUGGGGCAUCGGCAUCGCAGGAGCGCCCAAGCCAGUGCCUCUCCUUCAUCUCCAUCGACUUCCCCUGCAGCCACAACCGCCGGAUGCGUCGCCUCCGACCAUCCCCAUAGACCGCGCAUGCAGCUUCGGCGACCAGCAGUUGGGCACCACCUCGCCGAAGCACCUGCAGGUAAACACAGAGAUGUCUUGCUGCCAUGGGGAUGAGCUCCUCAAAUGGCGCCGCCAGGCCCUGCCAUCGCCGGGAACGGGAUGCCCGCCCUGGAUCCAGCCUCCCCAAGGUCUGUCGUGACCUUCCCUGGCCUCUGCGCCCACUAUUGUUGCCGGAGCAGUGCCAAGGCUGCAAGUCUCUGUCCCCGAUGGUUCCGCAAGCGUGUCGGAAUGUGAGGAUCCGUUCGACU